rnacentral:rRNA from 1 species
UGGGGAAAUUGCACCAUGGGCGAAAGCCUGAUGCAGCGACGCCGCGUGGGGGAUGAAGGCCUUCGGGUUGUAAACUUCUUUUGCUCUGAACAAGGCGGACCAAGGGGUGUGUUGAGUGUAGGGGUUGAUUAGCGCCGGCUAACUACGUGCCAGCAGCCGGGGUAAUACGUAGGGCGCGAGCGGUGUUCGGAAGUAUUGGGCGUAAAGGGCUUGUAGGUGGCUGGUUGCGUCUGUCGUUAAAGCUCAUGGCUUAACGUUGGGUUUGCGGUGGGUACGGGCUGGCUUGAGUGCAGUAGGGGAGGCUGGAAUUCCUGGUGUAGCGGUGGAAUGCGCAGAUAUCAGGAGGAAUACCGGUGGCGAAGGCGGGUCUCUGGGCUGUUACUGACACUGAGGAGCGAAAGCAUGGGGAGCGAACAGG